CAGUCGCCGCGGUAAUACGAAGGGUGCAAGCGUUAUCCGGAAUGAUUGGGCGUAAAGCGUGCGUAGGUGGUGGUUUAAGUCCGUUGUGAAAGCCCUGGGCUCAACCUGGGAAUUGCAGUGGAUACUGGGUCACUAGAGUGUGGUAGAGGAUAGUGGAAUUUCCGGUGUAGCAGUGAAAUGCGUAGAGAUCGGAAGGAACAUCUGUGGCGAAGGCGACUAUCUGGGCCAACACUGACACUGAGGCACGAAAGCGUGGGGAGCAAACAGGAUUAGAUACCCCUGUAGUCCCUGUCUCUUAUAC
rnacentral:rRNA from 1 species